UUAAAAUUAUUUCCCGGUUUGUGUUUCUUGGCUGACCACGUAAUUAGAAACGCGCAGAUUCAUUUCCAUUUUCCAUGUGACCCAAAACACAAUUCAAGGUUAUUCAAAAUGGCAGACAAGAGCUCUUUUUAGUUUUGUGAAAUGCUAACUACCAGGUCUCAAUAUUUUGAGACUAAUAGCAUUGACAGACGGCAGCGUUAAACCAGAUUAUUUGCAUUUUUCGGGAUUAAUUCAGGAGUUACCACAGCUAACUCCGUUGCUGAAUCCAAACAUAACUCUCAAAAUUUUAGGGAAAUUGUGAGAUUUUCGUUGGCAACAUUGUUAAUAAUUGACAGCUGCAUUCUAUUGUGAAUGAAAAAUAAGAACAGUGACAGCUGUUUUACGUUUAAAUGUAUUCAAAGUUAUUUUAAAAAGCGACGAUUGAAGAUUAAAAAUGGCUGGCAGAAAAAAACGUUCAGGGUGGACUUUUAAGGAUGAGUUGGAGCUGCUGGAAAAAUGGGAGGCACGUUCCCACGACCUCCGGCGUGCAAAGCGAAAUGCUCAUAUAUACAAUGAGAUUUCGCAGGAAAUGGCACAAAAAUACACCGCCGAGGAAAUUCACUGCAAAGUGAAAAAUAUGACAAAGAAAUACAGAGAGGAGAAAACCAAAAUUGGCCCUUCUGGUGGUAGUCCCUCGCCUUGGAAGCAUUAUAAUGCUGUGAAUCGCAUAGUAGGGUGUACUGCCGUUAAUUCGGCUUUGUACAUAGAGACAUACUCGUAUUCCGAGGUAAAAACGAAUUUAUUUUAUUUAUAUAAACACAUGCAUUUAUAAAGUUAAUUUUUUUUAAAAUUCAACAUUAAACCAAUUGUUGCCGCCGUCCGACCCAUCAUUAUCACCUCCGUUGCCAUCGCCAUCAUGUCCGCUGCCACCUUCGUUGCCGUCACCAUCACCGUCAUGUCCGCUGCCACCUUCGUUCACCAUAUUUAAUGAAUUGUUUUGUUAUUUUCUAGUCCUUAACCAUUAUUUAAUGAAAUGUUUUGUUAUUUUCUAGUCUUAAAACAUAAUAUAAUGUAACAAAAAAUGAAUUUAAAUAAAAAAUGAUCUCUUUAAAAAAUGGAUGUUUGUAAUUAUGUGUACUAAUAUUUGUUUUCUGCUACUCUAUACAUCUAUACUCACGAAAACUCAGAGCUAUUGCAUUUCUAAUAUUUUUAAAAAAUUGUGCAAAAUACAGCAUGCAUAAUUUGCAUCAUCUGUGCGGCUAACAAUCGCAAUGCUUGUCUUCUAUCCAUUUUUGUUUUAUAAAAUUGAAAAUGUUAUUAAUAUGCCAAUCAGCUGUUCGGUAACUCGCUUCGCUGCUGUCUGUCACCUAUAAAUUUGGAUCUGAUUAAGGGCGCAGUUAAUCAGGGUUAACGCAGCCGUCUGUCAAGGCUAUAACGCUAGAGACUGUUUAGUGAAUAGUAA